rnacentral:rRNA from 1 species
GAUUGAACGCUGKCGGCAGSCCUAACACAUGCAAGUCGAGCGGAAACGAGUUAUCUGAACCUUCGGGGAACGAUAACGGCGUCGAGCGGCGGACGGGUGAGUAAUGCCUAGGAAAUUGCCCUGAUGUGGGGGAUAACCAUUGGAAACGAUGGCUAAUACCGCAUAACGCCUACGGGCCAAAGAGGGGGACCUUCGGGCCUCUCGCGUCAGGAUAUGCCUAGGUGGGAUUAGCUAGUUGGUGAGGUAAGGGCUCACCAAGGCGACGAUCCCUAGCUGGUCUGAGAGGAUGAUCAGCCACACUGGAACUGAGACACGGUCCAGACUCCUACGGGAGGCAGCAGUGGGGAAUAUUGCACAAUGGGCGCAAGCCUGAUGCAGCCAUGCCGCGUGUGUGAAGAAGGCCUUCGGGUUGUAAAGCACUUUCAGUCGUGAGGAAGGUAGUGCAGUUAAUAGCUGCAUUAUUUGACGUUASCGACAGAAGAAGCACCGGCUAACUCCGUGCCAGCAGCCGCGGUAAUACGGAGGGUGCGAGCGUUAAUCGGAAUUACUGGGCGUAAAGCGCAUGCAGGUGGUUUGUUAAGUCAGAUGUGAAAGCCCGGGGCUCAACCUCGGAAUUGCAUUUGAAACUGGCAGACUAGAGURCUGUAGAGGGGGGUAGAAUUUCACGGUGUAGCGGUGAAAUGCGUAGAGAUCUGARAGGAAUACCGGUGGCGAAGGCGGCCCUUCUGGACAGAUAC